ACUAAGUCCAAUGUUUCAUUUCUUUUACUUUGAACAGGUUUUAUUACCACACCCAAUAAAUUGGUCAUUCAUUCAUUAAAAUACAUUUUCACUUUCAAAAGCCUUCUUUUGCAAAAGAGCAAAGCAAAACCAAAGCUCAAACAUCAUGUUGUGAUAGGGAUGAUUUAAGCUUUACAUGUCAUUAUCAAAGAUCAUGUACAAAAGCACAAAGUGGCUGAGCACAUUUUCAUACAGGCUGGCCUGACCUCCUUGCUUAGCCCCUCCUCUGCUUUCUUGCAUGCUCAUACUGUUACAGUGACUCCAUAUUUCACCUCUACCAUUCUUUUCUAGUCCACAUCUUAAUUAUAAUUUGCUAAAUAAUGCUAAACCAGAUUUACUUUUUCUAGAUAAGGCAUUAUCAUUAAAAAGAAUAAUACUAUAGUAAAAACACUAAUGGAUGGGCAUUCACUUGUGCCAGGACCUGGAUUUGGGGAAAGACAGUAAGGAGCACCAUGAUAAAGUCAGUCCCUCAUGGCAUCUGCUUACCAUCUGGUAGGAAAGACAGCAAACAAGGAACUGCAAAGGAUAUGACAUGCCCCUUGAACUGUUUAAUGAGAGCAGAAACAUAGGUAGGAGCUCCUAUUCUAAGCACAUUGUGAUGGGGUGAAAGAGGGAAUGCAAAAGUGUUCCAGGCAAAGAACAGGUUUGAGGGGAACCUGAGCCAAAAUGAAGACAAGGCAGGGGAGGGUUCUCAGGACCCAGCCAGUGCUGGGCUCUGUUAACCAGUUAAUCCCCUAGGACCGCUUUCUCUGCCUGUUCGUAAAGAAUGCCCUGGAAGUGGGGAGGCAAAGGCUGCUGUGGUCGGGUGAGCGCCAGCGGGGCUGACCUCAGAGAUGGAGAGUGGACAGAUCUGGCAGACACUGCGGAGGUCGACAAGGCUUGGUGACUUGGGGAAGGAGGGGGGUGGGCGAGAAAGAGCUGAGAGGGAUGGUUUCUGGAUUCCUGCUUGGGUCCCACUUACUGCUCAAGCAGACCCACUGAAAACAAGUGUGAGAAAGGGGAUUUCAAGGCUGCCCACACCCGACUUUGGCCUUGGAUACACACAGCCACAGUUCCCGGCCCUGAAAUCACAAGCCUUAACUGCCCGUGCUGCCCUUAACUGCCCGGCCUGUUUUGCGUCACGAACUUGCUCCAGACCCUGAGGCAAACUGAGUCGUCGCAGGAGACUGUACCAACACACAGGUGUACCAUAGGUGACAGAACUCGAUCUGGGCCGGGAAGGGGACAAAUCCGUGAAGGGCGACGCCAGGCAUUCCAG
rnacentral:lncRNA from 1 species